AACAAGAUUACAUACAUUCAGUAACAAAGUAAGCAAUGCUCCAGAGCAGCUAGAGUAAGUUGUUUUGUGUUCCCAGUAGUCUAUAGGACUUUUAAUUAACAAUUACCGACCAAACAUGUGUUUUCUGGAGAAUCUCUAACCUGAUUCCUCCUCUUACAUCUGCUCUGUCUGUGCUGAACUAAUAUGAGGAAGAACUACAGCACAAACUCUCAUUUAACAGCAUGUCUGUCAUAAUCAGGAUGUUGUUCACUAAUGCCAGGGUUCUUCAGAACAGCAGCUGUAUGUGUUGAGAUGCACCAAACUAAAAUUUCAUUGCUCCAAUAGCGUUUCUUCUUUCACAUCUGUUCCGAAGACAGGUACUGUUUCUAGAGUAUAUGUAUUGUGUUUCUUUGGCUAAAAAGGAUUUGUUCAAAUCAGAAUCAGACCAGAGAAACAACAGACCGUAAACACUAGUUUCAACACCGACUUUACCAGCAUAGUGCUGUUAGUUACAAAUCACCUGCUCCUGAUUUCAAAACAUGGUGAGCAGAGAUUCAAGCCUGCAAAAAGGACACAAAAAGAAGGUCAAGGUCACCCAUAAAGAAGUUACUUAGCAGAGUAACGUUAAGAAAGUUCAAAACGUUUAUUUUGGCCAUUCUGAGAAUUGCAAGUCAUGUGACUUGGUUUCACACACUGUCCUCAGAUCAGUUCCGUUCUGCUGUUCUCAAUAACUGUCAACUGUCCUAAAAUAGAAUCUAAACCCAACCCCCCCAGAAAUGUGAAAAAAAAAAGAUAUCCAAUCAAAACAAAGUUAUAUUUUUCUGAUUUAGUUUAAAUUCACUUGGUUAAGUUAGGUGACUUCUUUCUCGUGUAGGCCUAUAAUUAAACUAAUUUGAACUCGGCAGCUACAUUGAAACCACAUGGUGACCACACAAAAAUGCCCUCUUUUUUCUAUUGUAGAAAGGAUAUCACAUGCUCUUGUUCAAUGACAAACUUUUCCACCUACUGGCCUCACCUACUAAAAGCAGAGGACUACAAAAACUCAAAAAGAGCAUCUACCGUUUAAAUGAGAGAGGUCAUGGGAACAAAGGUGUCUCAGCCUGUUUAUGGCAAUAUAAAUACUGAUGGAACACGGGAUAUGGACCGACGCAAAAAGAGAAACCAAACACCUCAACACACAGGAAGCAAUUGUGUGAAGAGCAGAAGCUCCAGAGCAGCUGUGGUGUGUUUGGUUCUGCUGUCUGUUCUUCUGCUGACUGCAGUCAUAGUGCUGUGUGUCCACAUCCACACAAACAACACAAACUACACACAAGAGACAAAACAGAUGCUAACCAAGAUCGCCAACCUCACAGAAGCAAGAGACCAGCUACUAACCAUGAUUACUAACCUGGCAGAAGAGAGAGAACAGCUACGAAACAAGAACAUAAACUUGACAAAUGAAAAAUAUGGAUUACUAACCGAAAACAAAAACCUGGUUGAAGAAAGAGACCAGUCCAAUCAGGAGAAAAGUGAACUGUUUAAAAGUCUUCGUGAAAUCGGUAAUGUUUUCUUAACUUUAGUACACACAUGCACACACUAAUUCACAUUCAGUAUACACUAUAAACUAUAUGUAUAUUGUGUGUAUGUGUGUGCGUGUGUGUGUGUGCAAGUGUGUUAGUACAAUAUAUAGUGUGUGUGUAAGCAUGUGGAAAGGUUCUGCCAUCUACAAUGGCCAUUCUUGGACAACAGACCUACUUUUAAAUUGACUGCUUCCAUGGAAUAACUAGCAACAAUGGAGUGCUUGGGAGAAUGCAUAAGAUAAUUGUCAAUUGUGUCUGGAAUACCAGCUCAGGUUUUUAUUUUUUUUAUUUUUUUUAUUGGCCUGUCAUCAGUUAUUCGGUUGAUUGAUUAAUUGAUUAUUGAUUGAUUGUUUGCUCGGGACAGUGUUCAGCAGCAGUGUCUCUAUUAAAGUGAAAGUUUAAAGAACAGUGGCAUUAUCUCCUCCAUACUACGAUAAGCGUUUCAGUUGUGAAACUAUUUAUUUAAUAAAGCAGCAGGUAAUUACACAUUACCGUGUGCGUGCAUUGCUCUGUGUGUGUGUGUGUGUUUAAUGAGUACACAGGAGAGAGAACCUGCCUUCCAUAAAUAAUAAAACAGUUUUGUAGAAACUUAAUGUUUGUUAUAUUUAUUUGCUUGCUCUGUGUUUUUGUGGAUUUUGGUUCUUUUGCUGCUGCAGACUGUAAGGACCUUAUGAAAAGUGAUAUGUAACUCUAAUGUGUUUCACAAAAAAAAAUGUAGAAGCUGAUCUGGUUGUGUUAACAGAUGGACAUAUCUAUCAGUCCAGUUUUUACUUUGCUUCUGCUGAGACGAAGAGCUGGGCUGAGAGCAGAAGAUACUGUACAGAGAGAGGAGCAGAUCUGAUCAUCAUAAACAACAGAGAGGAACAAGUGAGUGAAUAAUAGAGUAGGGCACACAAGUUUGUGUUGAAGCCUCAUUUACAGAAUGUCUACUGCAGAAGUUAAACACUGCUGUCUGGUUAAUUUUACUAGGAGUUCAUUCAAAAGAUUGCUGGUGGCAAAGGAGUCUGGAUUGGUUUGACUGACAGUGAUGUGGAGGGCAUAUGGACAUGGGUUGAUGGCAGAACACUGACCUCUGGGUGAGAAAACAAUGAAUUGAACUGAGUAUUAUCUAAAAAAUGAUUCUCACAGUCAUCUAAUGCUAUAUUUUCAGCUUUUGGGCGACUGGAGAGCCCAAUGGACAAACCGGAGAGAACUGCAUUGCCUCUUAUCCAUCAGGGUGGUAUGAUUAUCCAUGUACCACUGCAUUUAAAUGGAUCUGUAAAAAGAAAUUGUAAAAUUAUACUAUAUUGUGCUAUAUUUUAACUCAACAUCUGAGUUAAGCUGCUGCUUACCAUCACCAUAGUUGUAAAUAAUGGCAGUAAAUUAUGAUGUAUUAUUACAAUUAAUAAAACAUUAUUUAAUAAAUCAGUCCAAAUGAGGAGUGCAUGCUGUUAUAAACCACUCAGACCAUAACAAUGUCUCUUUUCUCACAUCUGUCCGGGACUGUAAAAACAAUAGGUGCAAAAAAAAAAAAAAAAAAAAAAAAAAAAAAAAACUGUCACUGCC